rnacentral:rRNA from 1 species
AGUGAACGCUGGCGGUAGGCCUAACACAUGCAAGUCGAACGGCAGCACAGUAAGAGCUUGCUCUUACGGGUGGCGAGUGGCGGACGGGUGAGGAAUACAUCGGAAUCUACUUUUUCGUGGGGGAUAACGUAGGGAAACUUACGCUAAUACCGCAUACGACCUACGGGUGAAAGCAGGGGAUCUUCGGACCUUGCGCGACUGAAUGAGCCGAUGUCGGAUUAGCUAGUUGGCGGGGUAAAGGCCCACCAAGGUGACGAUCCGUAGCUGGUCUGAGAGGAUGAUCAGCCACACUGGAACUGAGACACGGUCCAGACUCCUACGGGAGGCAGCAGUGGGGAAUAUUGGACAAUGGGCGCAAGCCUGAUCCAGCCAUACCGCGUGGGUGAAGAAGGCCUUCGGGUUGUAAAGCCCUUUUGUUGGGAAAGAAAAGCAGCAGGUUAAUACCCCGCUGUUCUGACGGUACCCAAAGAAUAAGCACCGGCUAACUUCGUG